UACAGAGGUCUCAAGCGUUGUUCGGAUUCAUUGGGCGUAAAGGGUGCGUAGGUGGCAUGGGCAGUCGGAUGUGAAAUCCCGGGGCUCAACCCCGGAACUGCAUUCGAUACUGCCGCGCUAGAGUACUGGAGAGGAGAUUGGAAUUUACGGUGUAGCAGUGAAAUGCGUAGAUAUCGUAAGGAAGACCAGUGGCGAAGGCGGAUCUCUGGACAGUUACUGACACUGAGGCACGAAGGCCAGGGGAGCAAACGGG
rnacentral:rRNA from 1 species